rnacentral:lncRNA from 1 species
UCUUUUCUCAUUUUUUUUCCUCUCAUUCUCUCUCUGCAGAUCAAACAUUCCCUGAAUGGUGGUAGAAGCAGGAGGAAUGUCACUUGCUGAUUUGAAUUUCAGAAAACACCUAAACCACAUUCUGAUCUUCAGCUGCGGGACUGCCUGAUUAAAGCACCCCUCUGCGCUCUCCCAUGGCUGCUGACCUCGUCUGGGCAGGAUUGCUGCUGCUUCAGAGCAGCUGCGUGGAUCCUUCGUCUGCGUGCAGCGACAUUCAACAUAAAUGAAGAGCAGGCAGCUUGAUCUCUA